AUUGAACGCUGGCGGCAUGCUUUACACAUGAAAGUCGGACGAGUGGCGAACGGGUGAGUAACGCAUCGGAACGUACCGAGUAAUGGGGGAUAACUGGCCGAAAGGACAGCUAAAACCGCAUAGUAUUCGAGAGGCCGAUGUCUGAUUGGCGGGUUGGCGGGGUAAAGGCCCACCAAGGCGACGAUCAGUAGCGGGUCUGAGGGGAUGCACCGCCCCACUGGGACUGAGACACGGCCCAGACUCCUCCGGGAGGCAGCCGUGGGGAAUUUUGGACAAUGGGCGCAAGCCUGAUCCAGCCAUGCCGCGUGUCUGAAGAAGGCCUUCGGGUUGUAAAGGACUUUUGUCAGGGAAGCGGUACCUGAAGAAUAAGCACCGGCUAACUACGUGCCAGCAGCCGCGGUAAUUC
rnacentral:rRNA from 1 species